rnacentral:rRNA from 1 species
GACGAACGCUGGCGGCAGGCCUAACACAUGCAAGUCGAGCGAGAUCUUCGGGUCUAGCGGCGGACGGGUGAGUAACACGUGGGAACGUACCCUUUGCUUCGGAAUAGCCCCGGGAAACUGGGAGUAAUACCGAAUGUGCUCUACGGAGGAAAGAUUUAUCGGCAAAGGAUCGGCCCUCGUUGGAUUAGGUAGUUUGAGGGGUAAUGGCCUACCAAGCCGACGAUCCAUAGCUGGUUUGAGAGGAUGAUCAGCUACACUGGGACUGAGACACGGCCCAGACUCCUACGGGAGGCAGCAGUGGGGAAUCUAAGACAGUGGGGGAAACCCUGAUCUAGCCAUGCCGCGUGAGCGAUGAAGGCCUUAGGGUUGUAAAGAUCUUUCAGUGGGGAAGAUAAUGACUGUACCCACAGAAGAAGCCCCGGCUAACUCCGUGCCAGCAGCCGCGGUAAUAC